GGCGGGCCAGAGGCAGCUCCAGUAGAUGCACGCGUGAAGCUGGGCGAGCAGGAGCCCCGGCGGCGCGAAACGCAUCUUCUCCUCUUUGGUUGCCUAAUUACAGCAGGUUUUUACAUCAUGGGUCUGAAAAGACCAUCAAAAAGCGCUGUGACCUGAGGUGUGGAGGUGAAAAUUUCUGCAAUACUUUAAAAGGAUCAUAAGCAAGUCAGGAUCUGACAACUUGAUCAGGAAAAGCAGCUACAGGACCUGAGACAGCUGUUGCUCUUCUCUCGCAUGGUGUGGGCUGAAGACAAAGCCUUCUGAUAUCAGUGGAUUUUUUUUUUUGUCAGAUCUGAGGUUUACAAUGAGGUUUUAAUAGCAGUAUUUUUUAAACCUAGAGUAUUGAUGUGUUGCUAAAGCUGAACAUGAGUGGUUUCACAGGA